rnacentral:lncRNA from 1 species
CAGAGAGGCAGGUUCAAGUGCCAGGGACAGCCAAAGAAACAGAGGCUGACAUUUGAAAAGCAAAUUGGACUCUGCGUUCCAGGACGCGGCGGCUGGGGCAUGACCUGGGUGCCAGCCUGGCCUCCUCCCCUCCCACCUGCCUCACCUCUAGCAGGCGCACGAACUCCUCCAGAGUCUUCACUGCCACACCCAGUGUGUGGACAGAGAACUGCCUACCUCCCUGGGCGUGACUGUGAUGCCCUCAGCCCAGGCUCAGGUGUGCCAACGGCUAGGGAGGUCGCUCUUUCCCUGGGGGGCAGGGCUGAAGCAAGGCUGCCAUCUGCCCAGACAGGAGAAUGAACGCCAACGGCUGGCACCGGCUCUGGAGCCAGAGGAGGCCACAUCCGGGCAGCCGGUGGGGCGGGCAGAUCCCUGAAGGAGGCAAAGCCCUUACACGUUCUGGCAGAAAAACAAAAUGACUUAUGUAUGUUUGGAAAAGAAUC